rnacentral:rRNA from 1 species
UGCCAGCAGCCGCGGUAAUACGGAGGGGGCUAGCGUUGUUCGGAAUUACUGGGCGUAAAGCGCUCGUAGGCGGAUUGGUCAGUCAGAGGUGAAAGCCCAGGGCUCAACCUUGGAAUUGCCUUUGAUACUGCCAGUCUUGAGUUCGGGAGAGGUGAGCGGAAUUCCGAGUGUAGAGGUGAAAUUCGUAGAUAUUCGGAGGAACACCAGAGGCGAAGGCGGCUCACUGGACCGAUACUGACGCUGAGGAGCGAAAGCGUGGGGAGCAAACAGGAUUAGAUA